AGUAUUUGUAGGAGGCCACCAGAGAGACAGGAUUGCAAGGUUUUAAAUAUGCUAGUGUCAUGAGGUCAUGGAUUUCCUACCUGAAACAGAUAGUGUGACUGCCCUGCUAUAGCCAUGUUUGGCCAGUGUAGGAAUUUUGAGAACAGUGAACACUUAAUACUCAGAUGGCAUUUUGCCACCCCGACAAGGACCAUACCUGCCAUUCCAUUGUAGUUCGCCUUGCCCAGAAGUUUUAAAAUUUUUCUUUCAGCCUGGGAUUUCAAGUGUACUACAGCAUCCUCUUCACCUAUACAAGCGUCUGUUGUUUUAAAAGGAAACUGAGAUGGAGUCUCCCUAUGCUACCUAGGCUGGUCUCCAACUCCUGCACUCAAGUGUUCCUCUUGCCUCAGCCUCCCGUAAGUUAUAAAUUAGUUCAUGUGGGCUGCUCCUCAUAACCCUGCUCAAACACUACUGAGGCAUCAGGAUCUUCAAGAUUCAUAUGAGGAAACUGAAGCGAAAGAAUGUUGACUAAUUUUGUCAAGGUCACACAACUGGUAUAAAAUAAGUUCAACACUGGCAACCAUCUGAUAACCACAGAGAAAUGAGACUGAGGAUAAAACUAAUCUAAAGAGGAUACCAACGAAGCUGUAACCCUCCAGUUACAUAAACCAGUGUCCUGAGGGAGAAGCUGGUGCCCUUUAUCACACAGCUAACAACGCUCCUGGCCCAUGGAUCAGAGAAGUUGAAGGAAAAUACAGAGGAAGUUCUAACAGUGGCAGACCUAAUUACUGCACCAUGCCAAGCAGGUAAUCCAGCAGGUAAAAUAUUUUCCCAGGGGUUCAAGCUGAGUUUUGACCCAAGUUAUUGUCCUAGAAUCUGUGGGGGAAGUACAAGUAAACCUUAAAGAAGACAAAUAACACCUUAUGAGGUGUUUGCCUUAGGGUGCCAUUCUGACAGAUAUUGACUAACAGUUCAUUGAACGUGUGGAUACUGCCUCCAUAAGCAGUGGCUAUGUCUUCAGUAGGCUGUAUCACUUGAGCACCAGCAGCCAGAAGCCUCAAAG
rnacentral:lncRNA from 1 species